rnacentral:rRNA from 1 species
AUUGAACGCUGGCGGCAGGCCUAACACAUGCAAGUCGAACGAGUGGCGGACGGGUGAGUAAUGUCUGGGAAACUGCCUGAUGGAGGGGGAUAACUAAUGGAAACGGUAGCUAAUACCGCAUACCAUCGGAUGUGCCCAGAGGGGAUUAGCUAGUAGGUGGGGUAACGGCUCACCUAGGCGACGAUCCAUAGCUGGUCUGAGAGGAUGACCAGCCACACUGGAACUGAGACAUGUGCCAGACGCCUACGGGAGGCAGCAGUGGGGAAUAUUGCACAAGGGGCGCAAGCCUGAUGCAGCCAUGCCGAGUGUGUGAAGAAGGCCUUCGGGUUGUAAAGCACUUUCAGCGGGGAGGCGUUACCCGCAGAAGAAGCACCGGCUAACUCCGUGCCAGCAGCCGCGGUAAUAC